rnacentral:rRNA from 1 species
ACGGCUUAACUGUGAGCGUGCGGGCGAUACGGGCAGACUUGAGUACUGCAGGGGAGACUGGAAUUCCUGGUGUAGCGGUGGAAUGCGCAGAUAUCAGGAGGAACACCGGUGGCGAAGGCGGGUCUCUGGGCAGUAACUGACGCUGAGGAGCGAAAGCGUGGGGAGCGAACAGGAUUAGAUACCCUGGUAGUCCACGCCGUAAACGGUGGGUACUAGGUGUGGGUUUCCUUCCUUGGGAUCCGUGCCGUAGCUAACGCAUUAAGUACCCCGCCUGGGGAGUACGGCCGCAAGGCUAAAACUCAAAGAAAUUGACGGGGGCCCGCACAAGCGGCGGAGCAUGUGGAUUAAUUCGAUGCAACGCGAAGAACCUUACCUGGGUUUGACAUGCACAGGACGCCGGCAGAGAUGUCGGUUCCCUUGUGGCCUGUGUGCAGGUGGUGCAUGGCUGUCGUCAGCUCGUGUCGUGAGAUGUUGGGUUAAGUCCCGCAACGAGCGCAACCCUUGUCUCAUGUUGCCAGCGGGUAAUGCCGGGGACUCGUGAGAGACUGCCGGGGUCAACUCGGAGGAAGGUGGGGAUGACGUCAAGUCAUCAUGCCCCUUAUGUCCAGGGCUUCACACAUGCUACAAUGGCCGGUACAAAGGGCUGCGAUGCCGCGAGGUUAAGCGAAUCCUUUUAAAGCCGGUCUCAGUUCGGAUCGGGGUCUGCAACUCGACCCCGUGAAGUCGGAGUC